rnacentral:rRNA from 1 species
AUUGAACGCUGGCGGCAGGCCUAACACAUGCAAGUCGAACGGUAACAGGAAGAAGCUUGCUUCUUUGCUGACGAGUGGCGGACGGGUGAGUAAUGUCUGGGAAACUGCCUGAUGGAGGGGGAUAACUACUGGAAACGGUAGCUAAUACCGCAUAAUGUCGCAAGACCAAAGAGGGGGACCUUCGGGCCUCUUGCCAUCGGAUGUGCCCAGAUGGGAUUAGCUAGUAGGUGGGGUAACGGCUCACCUAGGCGACGAUCCCUAGCUGGUCUGAGAGGGUGACCAGCCACACUGGAACUGGAACACGGUCCAGAGUCCUACGGGAGGCAGCGGUGGGAAAUAUUGCACAAGGGGCGCAAGCCUGAUGCAGAUAUGCCGCGUGUAUGAAGAAGGCCUUCGGGUUGUAAAGUACUUCAGCGGGGAGGAAGGGAGUAAAGUUAAUACCUUUGCUCAUUGACGUUACCCGCAGAAGAAGCACCGGCUAACUCCGUG